rnacentral:rRNA from 1 species
CCUACGGGAGGCAGCAGUGAGGAAUAUUGGUCAAUGGGCGGGAGACUGAACCAGCCAAGCCGCGUGAGGGAAGAAGGUACAGCGUAUCGUAAACCUCUUUUGUCAGGGAACAAAGGCGGGGACUAGUCCCCGGUUGAAGGUACCGGAAGAAAAAGCAUCGGCUAACUCCGUGCCAGCAGCCGCGGUAAUACGGAGGAUGCGAGCGUUAUCCGGAUUUAUUGGGUUUAAAGGGUGCGCAGGCGGCCUGUUAAGUCAGCGGUAAAAGCCCGGGGCUCAACCCCGGCGAGCCGUUGAAACUGGCGGGCUGGAGUUGGAGGGAAGUACGCGGAAUGCGCGGUGUAGCGGUGAAAUGCUUAGAUAUCGCGCAGAACCCCGAUUGCGAAGGCAGCGUACGGGCGCCACACUGACGCUGAGGCACGAAAGCGUGGGUAUCGAACAGGAUUAGAUACCCGUGUAGUC